rnacentral:tRNA from 1 species
GCGGACGUGGUGGAAUGGCAGACACGCCGGUCUUAGGAGCCGGUGGGGAAACCCGUGCGGGUUCGACUCCCGCCGUCCGCA